rnacentral:rRNA from 1 species
AUUGAACGCUGGCGGCAGGCCUAACACAUGCAAGUCGAGCGGCUGACGGGAGCUUGCUCCUGGAUUCAGCGGCGGACGGGUGAGUAAUGCCUAGGUAUCUUCCUCCUAUUACGGGAUAACGUCCGGAAAAGGGCGCUUAUACCCCAUACUUCCUGAUGGAGUAAGUUUGGGUUCUUCGGACCUCACUCUAUCAGAUUAGCCUAGGUCGGAUUAGCUAGUUGGUGGGGUAAAGGCCUACCAAGCCGACGAUCCGUAACUGGUCUGAGAGGAUGAUCAGUCACACUGGAACUGAGACACGGUCCAGACUCCUACGGGAGGCAGCAGUGGGGAAUAUUGGACAAUGGGCGAAAGCCUGAUCCAGCAAUGCCGCGUGUGUGAAGAAGGUCUUCGGAUUGUAAAGCACUUUAAGUUGGGAGGAAGGGCAGUAAGUUAAUACCUGGCUGGAUUGACGUUACCAACAGAAGAAGCACCGGCUAACUUCGUG